CAAGCUUGCGGGGCCCUCCCGUGCUGUUUUCCGAUCCCGGACUGAGUACAUUAAGAAACAAGUACUUGGACAACUACAAAGGGGCAUCAGCCACCAUUGCGUGGCUGCACCAGUUUGCGUCCCUGCCUCUAUUCUUGUUAGCAUCUGCGCCUCUGCCCUGCACCUGCCUUACAGUUUAGAUCAUAUACGUCCCCCUUGCAAAGGUCAAGGAGUUGAUGACUUCUUCGGAGUCUUGCAGCACAAUAGAAGAUAUCUAAGGAGUGACUGUGUGGGGUCCAAGGCCACUCCAGACACCAGUGAUGCCUGACACCCAGACCCCUGGCUCCAGGGACAUAAGUGACCUAUGGAGGACACCUGAGCACCUGUCCUUGUUUUGACCGGCUCCUGGAUGCCUGAGAGGACACGUACAUCAGACCCCAGGCAGAGACAAGACUUUCUGUUUUCCUUUCUGAGUCUGUUAGAUGCUGUGCCUGCGUCUGGACUCGCUCUAUGUCUUCAGUAAACUCUGAUCUCGCCUC